GUGGCAUUAGCUCAGUUGGUUAGAGCGUUCCCCUGUGGAGGGAAAGGUCGAGGGUUCGAGUCCCUUAUGCUACC
rnacentral:tRNA from 1 species